rnacentral:rRNA from 1 species
UACAGAGGGUGCGAGCGUUAAUCGGAAUUACUGGGCGUAAAGCGUGCGCAGGCGGUUUUGUAAGUUUGUCGUGAAAUCCCCGGGCUCAACCCUGGGAAUUGCAUUUGUGACUGCACGGCUAGAGUGUGUCAGAGGGGGUAGAAUUCCACGUGUAGCAGUGAAAUGCGUAGAGAUGUGGAGGAAUACCGAUGGCGAAGGCAGCCCCCUGGGAUAACACUGACGC